rnacentral:rRNA from 1 species
GUGGGGAAUAUUGGACAAUGGGCGCAAGCCUGAUCCAGCCAUGCCGCGUGAGUGAUGAAGGCCUUAGGGUUGUAAAGCUCUUUCACCGGUGAAGAUAAUGACGGUAACCGGAGAAGAAGCCCCGGCUAACUUCGUGCCAGCAGCCGCGGUAAUACGAAGGGGGCUAGCGUUGUUCGGAAUUACUGGGCGUAAAGCGCACGUAGGCGGAUAUUUAAGUCAGGGGUGAAAUCCCAGGGCUCAACUCUGGAACUGCCUUUGAUACUGGGUAUCUCGAGUAUGGAAGAGGUAAGUGGAAUUCCGAGUGUAGAGGUGAAAUUCGUAGAUAUUCGGAGGAACACCAGUGGCGAAGGCGGCUUACUGGUCCAUUACUGACGCUGAGGUGCGAAAGCGUGGGGAGCAAACAGGAUUAGAAACCCGGGUAGUCC